rnacentral:rRNA from 1 species
UACGAACCGUACAAACGUUAUUCGGAAUCACUGGGCUUAAAGGGUGCGUAGGCGGCCAUGUAAGUGAGGUGUGAAAUCCCUCGGCUCAACCGAGGAACUGCGCUUCAUACUGCAUGGCUUGAGGGAGACAGGGGUAAGCGGAACUGAUGGUGGAGCGGUGAAAUGCGUUGAUAUCAUCAGGAACACCGGUGGCGAAGGCGGCAUCCUGGACCAACACUGACACUGAGGAGCGAAAGCCAGGGGAGCAAACGGG